rnacentral:rRNA from 1 species
GAUGAACGCUGGCGGCGUGCCUAAUACAUGCAAGUCGAGCGAACGGACGAGAAGCUUGCUUCUCUGAUGUUAGCGGCGGACGGGUGAGUAACACGUGGAUAACCUACCUAUAAGACUGGGAUAACUUCGGGAAACCGGAGCUAAUACCGGAUAAUAUUUUGAACCGCAUGGUUCAAAAGUGAAAGACGGUCUUGCUGUCACUUAUAGAUGGAUCCGCGCUGCAUUAGCUAGUUGGUAAGGUAACGGCUUACCAAGGCAACGAUGCAUAGCCGACCUGAGAGGGGGAUCGGCCACACUGGAACUGAGACACGGUCCAGACGCCUACGGGAGGCAGCAGUAGGGAAUCUUACGCAAUGGGCGAAAGCCUGACGGAGCAACGCCGCAUGAGUGAUGAAGGUCUUCGGAGCGUAAAACUCUGUUAUUAGGGAAGAACAUAUGUGUAAGUAACUGUGCACAUCUUGACGGUACCUAAUCAGAAAGCCACGGCUAACUACGUG